UUUUAUGGAGAGUUUGAUCCUGGCUCAGGAUGAACGCUGGCGGCGUGCCUAAUACAUGCAAGUCGAGCGAACUGACGAGGAGCUUGCUCCUUUGACGUUAGCGGCGGACGGGUGAGUAACACGUGGGUAACCUACCUAUAAGACUGGAAUAACUCCGGGAAACCGGGGCUAAUGCCGGAUAACAUAUCGAACCGCAUGGUUCGAUAGUGAAAGACGGUCUUGCUGUCACUUAUAGAUGGACCCGCGCCGUAUUAGCUAGUUGGUGAGGUAACGGCUCACCAAGGCAACGAUACGUAGCCGACCUGAGAGGGUGAUCGGCCACACUGGAACUGAGACACGGUCCAGACUCCUACGGGAGGCAGUCAGUAGGGAAUC
rnacentral:rRNA from 1 species